UUAUAGCUCUAGGAUCGGCCUGUACGGUAUCAGCUAGUUGGUGAGGUAAUGGCUCACCAAGGCAAUGACGCCUAACUGGUUUGAGAGGAUGAUCAGUCACACUGGAACUGAGACACGGUCCAGACUCCUACGGGAGGCAGCAGUGGGGAAUAUUGCACAAUGGGGGAAACCCUGAUGCAGCAACGCCGCGUGGAGGAUGACACAUUUCGGUGCGUAAACUCCUUUUAUAUAGGAAGAUAAUGACGGUACUAUAUGAAUAAGCGCCGGCUAACUCCGUGCCAGCAGCCGCGGUAAUACGGAGGGCGCAAGCGUUACUCGGAAUCACUGGGCGUAAAGAGCGUGUAGGCGGGUUAAUAAGUUUGAAGUGAAAUCCUAUGGCUCAACCAUAGAACUGCUUUGAAAACUGUUAACCUAGAAUAUGGGAGAGGUAGAUGGAAUUUCUGGUGUAGGGGUAAAAUCCGUAGAGAUCAGAAGGAAUACCGAUUGCGAAGGCGAUCUACUGGAACAUUAUUGACGCUGAGACGCGAAAGCGUGGGGAGCAAANAGGAUUAGAUACCCUGGUAGUCCACGCCCUAAACGAUGUACACUAGUUGUUGUGAGGCUAGACCUUGCAGUAAUGCAGUAAACACAUUAAGUGUACCGCCUGGGGAGUACGGUCGCAAGAUUAAAACUCAAAGGAAUAGACGGGGACCCGCACAAGCGGUGGAGCAUGUGGUUUAAUUCGACGAUACGCGAAGAACCUUACCUGGACUUGACAUAGUAAGAACUUUCUAGAGAUAGAUUGGUGUCUGCUUGCAGAAGCUUAUAUACAGAUGCUGCACGGCUGUCGUCAGCUCGUGUCGUGAGAUGUUGGGUUAAGUCCCGCAACGAGCGCAACCCUCGUCGUUUAGUUGCUAACAGUUCGGCUGAGAACUCUAACGAGACUGCCUGGGUAAACC
rnacentral:rRNA from 1 species